UGGUACAUUCGAAUAUUCAGUUGCUGUUUUUGCCACCUAAUACCACUUCUCUGAUUCAGCCAUUCGAUCAGGGUAUUAUAGCAGAAGUUAAAAUGUACUACAACAAGCAAACGUUAAGAUAUAUUUUAGAUUCAGAAGGUCCUAUUGAUGAUGACGACUUAAUUGAAAUUAUGACAAUCAAUGAGAAUAAAGAUGUCGAUAUCGACGAGGACGAGGUUUUAACGGCUAAUUUAAUUCAUGAGGGCUUGAAAUUCGCUACAAGUUUGAAACAACAUUUUCUUGCUCAUGACAUGGAGUGUGUAUUACAAUUUCAACGUAAACUUAAAUCUUGUAUUGUUGGGUAUCAAGAAUUAUCUAAACAACUGGAGAAACCAAAAAAACAACUUUUUUUAGCAGACUUUAUAACAAAAAAACUAUAAAGGCAGCUAAUUAUGAAGAUUUGACAAGUUUAAUAUAGAUAUCUCCUAAAACAGUACAACUACAAUAACCAAAUUCGCCCAGUUCAAAUACUACAAGAAGCGUAAAAAUGGAUGAAAUCGGAAGAUAACCCUGCGCCCUCUCCAUAUAACGGUACUGUUAAAAACUACUAAAAAGCGCAAUAAAUCAAUAACUAAACACGGCAGAGAGACUUCAUUUUAUCCCCAAGAUGGUGUUACAGAGCUUUAUGGGAGCCGGUGUGAAAAUGGUGAAAUCCCAUAUCUCGGGACCGGACAUACAGGUUUUGACAAAAUUUAGUAUGUAGCAUUAUAUUCACAUUCGUACAUCACAGUAUUAAAUCGGACGAUAUCGGGCAACUAGCACGCCUACUACCCAUACAGCAAAAUUUUAAAUUCUUUCACUUUCCAAUAAAUAAAUUAAGAAGUAACCUUUGCACGAAUAAUGCCCCUAGUGUGUGCCACUUUGUGACCAAACAUUGUUCAAAUGCAACGAAAACUGUUCAAGCCUUAGGUGCCGAAUAUUUCCCUUAGCAUAUACCUAAUUUAAAGAUUUUUGAAGUUCCGGGUGAAUUUAUACCGCAUAUAUCGGCCAAUCUGGGUUAUCUUAAUAAAAUUAAUAGAGCGUGUGUUUCCUAUACCAGUGUAACUUUGUGCCUAAAAUAGAUAAAUUUGAGCGAAAACUUGAUCUAGCCCCAAUAUAACUAACAUCAGGAUUUUCGAACAUCCGGCUGACUUCAUGUGAUUGGUAAUUAUAUGUGAAGUGCCUUAAUAAAUAUCAGAGAACAUUCUUUUAGUAUGUGCAUGGUAAUAGUUAAUAGAUAAAAUCGGUCGGCACUACCCCAACUCCCAUAUACUACAUACAGCGAGUUCAAAAAGUGUUUACGUAUAGUAAAAAAUAGUGCAUGGCAGCUGAUCUUAAGAAAAAUUAACAUUCAAAUUAAAUUUUGUUUUACGAAAAGUAAAGUAUAUUUAGUCAAAAACUUUUUAACAUAAACAAGCACCUCAUUUAAUAAUCUCUUGUGGCUAUAGUUGAUGUCAAGUAAUACAAUUCAUGUGAACAUUAUUUGAGCUUAGAGGUAGAGUGGCGAUUGAAGUCCAAUAACUAAUAACUUGUGGGACUGCCUUUAGCUUUUAUAGAAAUAGGGAAAUUUAACAACAAUAAAAACAUCUUUCGCAAACGCAAGAGAACAGAAAACGACGAACAUCCCACUUCGUGGGCAUAGAGAUGACGAAGAUAUUCGAAAAAAUAAAACGCCCGUGCAAAACGAACGGAAUUUCAGGGCUUUGCUGAGAUUCAGAAUCGAUUCAGGUGACACAACUCUCGAGCAUCACCUUGGGAGCACAUCUUCAAGAGCGACCUAUACCAGUAAAACGAUUCAGAAUCAACUAAUUGAAUGCUGCAGGGCAGAGAUAAUGGACAAAAUUUUGCAACGAGUGGCCGUGCUGAGUUUUACACGAUUGUUUUCGAUGAAUCUCCAGAUCUGUCGGGAAAAGCUCAGAUUAGCGUUGUACUCAGACACGUCGAUUUUUCUUCUGGCGAAGCAUGCAUACGAGAUGACUUUGUAUCUUUUUUGGACGCAUUCGGUCAACUCGCGGAGGGCACAGAAUCAGAAGAAAGCGAGGAUGAAGAUGGAUUAAUGGCUUACAGGACUGCUGGAAAAAAUGACCGAACCGAUGAAGAAUUGUCUCUAAGUGGAUCUGCCAUCGGGGGGAUUGUUCUUGGAGACAUGAAGAAAAUGAAUCCCCGAAUGGAGAAAUACGCUUGGAUAGGGACUGAAUAUUUGUGCGGUCAUGCUGUCAGAUAUCGGAGCAGUCAACGAAAUUCGGAAAGAAGCAAAAAAUGAUGCUCAACAACAGUAUUUCAAAGUCAGUGAAAGUACGAUUAAUCGAAAACGUUGCCAAAACGUGUGACUGUAUUAGCAAAGAUACUUGGUGAAAAAAUUGUCCAGUUGUGUGAAACAAGAUGGGUAGAGAGGCACGAUGCUGUGCUUCAAUUUGUUGCGAAGUUGCCGUUGAUCAUCGAAGCUCUGUCAAAAAUCAGUGAGUGAAAGAACAGAGAAACAGCAGGCAAAACAGCAACUGUCAUAUCGGCUUUGUUCAGUUCGAAUUUAACGUCGGGCUCUUCUGUCUCAGCGACAUUCUAUCGUUCACCCAUUCGCUCAGCGUAGUUCUUCAAAAGGAAGCAAUUGAUUUGGCGGUCAUCGUUUUGCGUUGUGAAACACGCAAUGUAAAAGGAUUUUUCUGUUUGAAUUUUUAAUAAAAUGAGCCACUAUGUAAUGCAUGCAUAUGAUUGACUUUUCG